ACGCUCGACACCUACGGAGGCAGCAGUCGGGAAUAUUGCGCAAUGGAGGGAACUCUGACGCAGUGACGCCGCGUGAAGGAAGACGGUUUUCGGAUUGUAAACUUCUGUUCUUAGUGAAGAUAGUGACGGUAGCUAAGGAGCAAGCCACGGCUAACUACGUGCCAGCAGCCGNGGUAAUCUGAGGCGGGCGUGGACAAGGC
rnacentral:rRNA from 1 species